rnacentral:rRNA from 1 species
AACGAACGCUGGCGGCAGGCCUAACACAUGCAAGUCGAGCGAGGUAGCAAUACCUAGCGGCGGACGGGUGAGUAACGCGUGGGAACGUGCCCUUUGCUACGGAAUAGCCCUGGGAAACUGGGAGUAAUACCGUAUGUGCCCUUCGGGGGGAAAGAUUUAUCGGCAAAAGGAUCGGCCCGCGUUGGAUUAGGUAGUUGGUGGGGUAAUGGCCUACCAAGCCGACGAUCCAUAGCUGGUUUGAGAGGAUGAUCAGCCACACUGGGACUGAGACACGGCCCAGACUCCUACGGGAGGCAG